GGAUUAGAUACCCUGGUAGUCCACGCCGUAAACGAUGAGAACUAGACGUUGGGCCGCAUGACGGUUUAGUGUCGAAGCUAACGCGAUAAGUUCUCCGCCUGGGGAGUACGGCCGCAAGGUUAAAACUCAAAGAAAUUGACGGGGACCCGCACAAGCGGUGGAGCAUGUGGUUUAAUUCGAUGCAACGCGAAGAACCUUACCUACCCUUGACAUCCUGGAAAGCUCACGUAACGGUGAGUGUGCCUUCGGGAAUCCAGUGACAGGUGCUGCAUGGCUGUCGUCAGCUCGUGCCG
rnacentral:rRNA from 1 species